CCUACGGGAGGCAGCAGUGGGGAAUCUUGGACAAUGGGGGCAACCCUGAUCCAGCCAUGCCGCGUGAGUGAAGAAGGCCCUAGGGUCGUAAAACUCUUUCGCCUGUGAUGAUAAUGACAGUAGCAGGUAAAGAAACCCCGGCUAACUCCGUGCCAGCAGCCGCGGUAAUACGGAGGGGGUUAGCGUUGUUCGGAAUUACUGGGCGUAAAGCGCACGUAGGCGGAUUAGAAAGUUAGAGGUGAAAUCCCAGGGCUCAACCCUGGAACUGCCUUUAAAACUACUAGUCUAGAGUUCGAGAGAGGUGAGUGGAAUUCCGAGUGUAGAGGUGAAAUUCGUAGAUAUUCGGAGGAACACCAGUGGCGAAGGCGGCUCACUGGCUCGAUACUGACGCUGAGGUGCGAAAGUGUGGGGAGCAAACAGGAUUAGAUACCCUGGUAGUCCACACCGUAAACGAUGAAUGCCAGUCGUCGGGUAGUAUACUAUUCGGUGACACACCUAACGGAUUAAGCAUUCCGCCUGGGGAGUACGGUCGCAAGAUUAAAACUCAAAGGAAUGACGG
rnacentral:rRNA from 1 species